GGGACGUGCGACACCUGCCCCGCAGCCGCCGCCAAGGGGCGGGAGCGCUCUUUGGGCGAAGCGACCCCCGAGCGCUGCGGCAGCUUCCUGGCAGGGGGAAGGAAAAUCCCGCGUCCCGGAGCCGCGGAGCCUGACAAGCUUCAGAGCCAGGCACGGUGUGAACAGACAGCAUACAGUCAGGAGGAGGAAUCUUCACACAUCUCAGAGCCAGACCGUGUGCAGACUCCACAAGUCAUCUAAGAAACCUUUUCGAAUGGCAUCCUCACUGCUCCCUAUUCCUAACUUUCUUCUGAGCCAAGUCCUCUGAUGACUUCACACACAGCUGCUGCCGUGAACAAAACACCUGCAUUGCUCAAAGUUACUCCAAUCCCUCUACAGGAUUGUCAGGCAGAGCUGGGAGCCCCAUUUAACCAGACCUCCUUCCACCUGCAUGACUUCCCUGUCUGCAGGCAGCACAGAAUACAGCAUCCUGACUUACAGGUUUUGUUGCACCAAGCCCCAAUUCUGCGUUACAGAAGCUGUGAGAAGCAGCUCCUACCAGCUGAGGAUAGCACGUGGAAUGACAGGACACAAGAAAAGC